rnacentral:rRNA from 1 species
AACCUUUAGCCCAACAAGUAUUAAAGGCAACGCCUGCCCAGUGAACAAUUCAACGGCCGCGGUACCCUAACCGUGCAAAGGUAGCAUAAUCAUUUGUCUAUUAACUGUAGACCUGUAUGAAUGGCAAAAUGAGGGUUCAACUGUCUCUUAUAAUAAGUCUAUUAAACUGAUCCCCCAGUAAAAAAGCUGGGAUACUCCCAUAAGACCAGAAGACCCUGUGAAGCUUUAACUAAACUAUUAAACCCAAUAAUAACUACUUUCGGUUGGGGCGACCUUGGAAACAAAAAUAACUUCCAACAUACGUGAUUCACCACACCCAUUAGGCCCACAAGCCAAUAAAUGACCCAGUACUACUGAUAAUAGAACAAAGUUACUCCAGGGAUAACAGCGCUAUCUUCUUCAAGAGCCCAUAUCAAAAAGAAGGUUUACGACCUCGAUGUUGGAUCAGGACAUCCUAAUGGUGCAACCGCUAUUAAGGGUUCGUUUGUUCAACGAUUAAUGUCCU